AUGGAGUACAAGAAAAUCCGAUCUGUUCGCGUGGGUUGUGCUUCUACUAUCACAAUGGACGACGACGGCCACGGCUCCUCCUCCUCCUCGCCGCUGCACGUGGUGAUCUGCCCGUGGCUCGCCUUCGGCCACCUGCUGCCGUGCCUCGACAUCGCCGAGCGCCUGGCGUCGCGCGGCCACCGCGUGUCCUUCGUCUCCACGCCGCGCAACAUCGCGCGCCUCCCGCCGGUCCGGCCCGCCGUGGCGCCGCUCGUCGACUUUGUGGCGCUGCCGCUCCCGCACGUGGACGGCCUCCCCGAGGGCGCCGAGUCGACCAACGACGUCCCGCACGACCAGUUCGAGCUCCUCCGGGAGGCCUUCGACGGCCUCGCCGCGCCCUUCUCAGAGUUCCUGCGCGCCGCGUGCGUCGACGGAGCUGGCAGCAGGCCGGACUGGCUCAUCGUUGACACCUUCCACCACUGGGCCGCCGCGUCCGCCGUCCAAAAUAAGGUUCCAUGUGUGAUGCUUCUCCUGGGAGCCGCAACCGUGAUCGCCGCCUGGGCCACAGGGGUGUCCGAGCACACCGCCGACGCCGUCGGAAAAGAGCGAUCGGCAGCAGAAGCGCCGAGCUUCGAGACGGAGAGGAGAAAGCUAAUGAUCACCCAGAACGCGUCGGGGAUGACAGUCGCCGAGCGCUACUUCCUGACGCUCACGAGGAGCAAUCUCGUGGCCAUCCGGAGCUGCGCCGAGUGGGAGCCCGAGAGCGUCGCCGCCCUCACCACGCUCGCGGGCAAGCCGGUUGUCACUCUCGGCCUCCUCCCACCGUCACCUGAGGGAGGGCGCGGUGUCAGCAAGGAGGACGCCGCCGUGCGCUGGCUCGACGCGCAACCGGCCAAUAAGUCGGUGGUCUACGUCGCGCUCGGGAGCGAGGUGCCACUGCGCGCGGAGCAGGUGCACGAGCUGGCCCUCGGGCUGGAGCUCUCGGGGGCACGCUUCCUCUGGGCCUUGCGGAAGCCGUCCGGCGUGCCGGACGCCGACAUCCUCCCUCCGGGGUUCAAGGAGCGCACGCGCGACCGCGGGCUCGUGUUGACCGGGUGGGUUCCUCAAAUCAGCGUGCUGGCGCACGACGCCGUUGCCGCGUUCCUGACCCACUGUGGGUGGAACUCGACCAUCGAAGGGCUCCUGUUCGGCCACCCGCUGAUCAUGCUACCCAUCUCUAGCGACCAGGGGCCCAACGCGCGACUCAUGGAGGGGAGGAAGGUUGGAAUGCAGGUGCCGAGAAACGAGAGUGACGGAUCGUUCACCCGGGAAGACGUCGCGGCGAUGGUGCGGGCCGUCGCCGUGGAGGAAGACGGCAGGAGGGUCUUCACGGCCAACGCCAAGAAGAUGCAGGAGAUCGUAGCCGACGGCGCAUGCCAUGAGAGGUGCAUCGACGGGCUUAUUCAGCAGCUCAGAUCUUACAAGGCCUGA
rnacentral:rRNA from 1 species